CUCCCAAAAGCUGCUUAUUUGGGAAAGGUCUUCACUUACCUUUAAUCAAUUAAAAGCUUUCUGGGAGAGAAAAGACCACACUCCACAGUGAGCUACAUCGUUGUAGUCCAUUACUUAUUUUGUGGUCGACAGU
rnacentral:snoRNA from 1 species